GUGAAUCAUCGAAUCUUUGAACGCAUAUUGCGCUCUCUGGUAUUCCGGAGAGCAUGCUUGUUUGAGUAUCAGUAAACACCUCAAAUCCCUCUACUUGUUGGAGGAAUUUGGACUUGAGCAAUCCCAACUUUUCGAAAGAGAAGGCGGGUUGCUUGAAAUGCAGGUGCAGCUAGAUUCUUUCUUCUGAGCUAUAAGCAUACUUAUUUAAUCCCGUCAAACGGAUUAUUACUUUUGCUGCAGCUAACAUAAAGGUUGAAGAGUCGCUAUGGCUGACUGAUGCAGGAUUUAACAUUUCGCGCA
rnacentral:misc_RNA from 1 species